AUUGAACGCUGGCGGCAGGCCUAACACAUGCAAGUCGAGCGAGCGGCGGACGGGUGAGUAAUGUCUGGGAAACUGCCUGAUGGAGGGGGAUAACUACUGGCAACGGUAGCUAAUACCGCAUACCAUCAGAUGUGCCCAGAGGGGAUUAGCGAGUAGGUGGGGGAACGGCUAACCUAGGCGACGAUCCCUAGCUGGUCUGCGAGGAUGACCAGCCACCCUGGAACUGAGACACGGUCCAGACUCGUACGGGAGGCAGCAGUGGGGAAUAGUGCACAAUGGGCGCGAGCCUGAUGCAGCCAUGCCGCGUGUGGGAAGAAGGCCUUCGGGUUGUAAAGCACUUGCAGCGGGGAGGCGUUACCCGCAGAAGAAGCACCGGCUAAGUCCGUGCCAGCAGCCGCGGUAAUUC
rnacentral:rRNA from 1 species